CGGGACGUGGGGGGCGGCUUACACAUGCAGUCGAGCGGAACGAUACCAGCUUGCUGGUAGGCGUCGAGCGGCGGACGGGUGAGUAAUACUUAGGAAUCUACCUAGUAGUGGGGGAUAGCUCGGGGAAACUCGAAUUAAUACCGCAUACGACCUACGGGAGAAAGGGGGCAGUUUACUGCUCUCACUAUUAGAUGAGCCUAAGUCGGAUUAGCUAGAUGGUGGGGUAAAGGCCUACCAUGGCGACGAUCUGUAGCUGGUCUGAGAGGAUGAUCAGCCACACCGGGACUGAGACACGGCCCGGACUCCUACGGGAGGCAGCAGUGGGGAAUAUUGGACAAUGGGGGAAACCCUGAUCCAGCCAGCCGCGUGUGUGAAGAAGGCCUUUUGGUUGUAAAGCACUUUAAGCAGUGAAGAAGACUCCUCGGUUAAUACCCGUGGACGAUGACAUUAGCUGCAGAAUAAGCACCGGCUAACUCUGUGCCAGCAGCCGCGGUAAUACAGAGGGUGCAAGCGUUAAUCGGAAUUACUGGGCGUAAAGCGAGCGUAGGUGGCUUGAUAAGUCAGAUGUGAAAUCCCCGGGCUUAACCUGGGAACUGCAUCUGAAACUGUUAGGCUAGAGUAGGUGAGAGGAAGGUAGAAUUCCAGGUGUAGCGGUGAAAUGCGUAGAGAUCUGGAGGAAUACCGAUGGCGAAGGCAGCCUUCUGGCAUCAUACUGACACUGAAGCUCGAAAGCGUGGGUAGCAAACAGGAUUAGAUACCCUGGUAGUCCACGCCGUAAACGAUGUCUACUAGUCGUUGGGUCCCUUGAGGACUUAGUGACGCAGCUAACGCAAUAAGUAGACCGCCUGGGGAGUACGGCCACAAGGUUAAAACUCAAAUGAAUUGACGGGGGCCCGCACAAGCGGUGAGCAUGUGGUUAAAUUCGAUGCAACGCGAAGAACCUUACCUGGUCUUGACAUAUCUAGAAUCCUGCUGAGAUGCGGGAGUGCCUUCGGGAAUUAGA
rnacentral:rRNA from 1 species